UGGCGGACGGGUGAGUAAUGUCUGGGAAACUGCCUGAUGGAGGGGGAUAACUACUGGAAACGGUAGCUAAUACCGCAUAACGUCGCAAGACCAAAGAGGGGGACCUUCGGGCUUCUUGCCAUCGGAUGUGCCCAGAUGGGAUUAGCUAGUAGGUGGGGUAACGGCUCACCUAGGCGACGAUCCCUAGCUGGUCUGAGAGGAUGACCAGCCACACUGGAACUGAGACACGGUCCAG
rnacentral:rRNA from 1 species